ACCGGCCCCAAUUUCUCGGGAGGCAGCAGUGGGGAAUAUUUCACAAUGGGCGAAAGCCUGAUGAAGGGCCGCCACUGAGGGAUGACGCCUUCGGGUUGUAAACCUCUUUCAGCAGGGAAGAAGCGAAAGUGACGGUACCUGCAGAAGAAGCGCCGGCUAACUACGUGCCAGCAGCCGCGGUAAUACGUAGGGCGCCAGCGUUGUCCGGAAUUAUUGGGCGUAAAGAGCUCGUAGGCGGUCUGUCGCGUCUGGUGUGAAAUCCCAUGGCUCAACUGUGGGCUUGCAUCGGGUACGGGCAGACUAGAGUACUGUAGGGGAGACUGGAAUUCCUGGUGUAGCGGUGGAAUGCGCAGAUAUCAGGAGGAACACCGAUGGCGAAGGCAGGUCUCUGGGCAGUUACUGACGCUGAGGAGCGAAAGCAUGGGGAGCGAACAGGAUUAGAUACCCUGGUAGUCCAUGCCGUAAACGUUGGGCACUAGGUGUGGGGCCAGUUCCACUGGUUCUGUGCCGUAGCUAACGCAUUAAGUGCCCCGCCUGGGGAGUACGGCCGCAAGGCUAAAACUCAAAGGAAUUGACGGGGGCCCGCACAAGCGGCGGAGCAUGCGGAUUAAUUCGAUGCAACGCGAAGAACCUUACCAAGGCUUGACAUGUACGAGAAAGCCCCAGAGAUGGGGUUCUCUUUGGACACUCGUACACAGGUGGUGCAUGGUUGUCGUCAGCUCGUGUCGUGAGAUGUUGGGUUAAGUCCCGCAACGAGCGCAACCCUUAUCCUAUGUUGCCAGCGGGUUAUGCCGGGGACUCAUGGGAGACUGCCGGGGUCAACUCGGAGGAAGGUGGGGAUGACGUCAAAUCAUCAUGCCCCUUAUGUCUUGGGCUUCACGCAUGCUACAAUGGCCGGUACAGAGGGCUGCGAUACCGUGAGGUGGAGCGAAUCCCAAAAAGCCGGUCUCAGUUCGGAUCGGGGUCUGCAACUCGACCCCGUGAAGUCGGAGUCGCUAGUAAUCGCAGAUCAGCAACGCUGCGGUGAAUACGUUCCCGGGCCUUGUACACACCGCCCGUCAAGUCACGAAAGUUGGUAACACCCGAAGCUCACGGCCCAACCCCUGUGGGAGGGAGGUC
rnacentral:rRNA from 1 species